UGCCAGGGAAGGAGGGAGGAGACCAUCACGCCUCGGGCUCGGAGUGGGGAGGCCGCCUUCGCGCUCGCCAGGUCUUGGGUCCUCUACGGACCCUGUCAGCUGUGGCUUCUCGGUUCCCGAAGUGCGAUCGGGGCGCGCUCGGGCGGCCCACCCAGAGUCCCAUACUGGACCGCGUCCUACCCCAGAGAGCGGACGAGGUGGCGGCGAAGCCUCGGUAGGACCGCCUUGGGCCUCACGCCGAUCUCCCUGCCUGAAUAAGCCGGAUCCCAGCGCAUCCCAGGGGAGCUUUUGAAGAGGGAAGGAGCCCCAGUUUAUGUUAACGAAUUUAACCCUCUCUAGUUUCGUGGUUAGAAUAGAGGGUUCAUCCCCAGGUUCUGGCUUUUGAUUGCUAACUUCAGGGACAGGGGUCAGUACCUCACAGAGCAGCCUAUUUUCAUUUUGGAGCGGACUAAGAUCUUCCUCACAGAACUUUCAUCGUCUGGUGUUACUCAGAGGGACGUUAAGCCAUUCCCAAUUUGGAAGACGGCUGCCAUCUCUCCUCUCACACCCUUCUUUUGGGUUUAUGCUUCCAUGAUCUUACACCUGGUCCUUAGGUGGCCUUCCAUUUAAGGCCAGUCAUUCUGGUAAUUCUCUUCUGGAUUCACUCCUAUUUUCCAGAUUCUCCCAAAACUGGGUUCCUAAAAUACGUUUGUAAGUAACACAGUUCUCAAGUCAGACAGACUUGAAUUCUAAUCCAGGGCUCUGCCAACUCAAGUAUGUGACUUUGGCCUACGUUUACCUGAGCAUUCUUGUCUGCCAUCCUGUGCUAGUGCUUCAUAUUGAGCUCAUAUGGUCAGCUAACACGUCCAGAUCUUUAAUCAGUCAUCCUCUAUGUGUAUGCAAAGAAGCCUUUUCACACAGAUGUCCUUAGAGAUAAUAUGGAUCAGUCCGGAGUUCUCCUCUGGGUGAAAGCAGAACCCUUUAUAGUGGGCGCCUUGCAGGUCCCCCCUCCAUCCAAGUUCAGUCUUCACUAUCUCAGGAAGAUAUCCACCUAUGUGCGAACCCGGGCCACAGAGGGAGGUUACCCACGCCUGUCCUGGUCUACAUGGAGGCACAUUGCGUGUGGAAAGCUGCAGUUGGCUAAGGAUCUGGCAUGGCUUUACUUUGAAAUAUUUGAUAGUCUUGCGGUGAAGACACCGAAGGAGCGCCUGGAAUGGUCUGAGAUUCUGUCCAACUGCAUGUCUGAGGAUGAAGUCGAAAAGCAAAGA